rnacentral:rRNA from 1 species
CGGCGGACGGGUGAGUAACGCGUGGGUAACCUGCCUCAUACAGGGGGAUAACAGUUGGAAACGGCUGCUAAUACCGCAUAAGCGCACAGUACCGCAUGGUACCGUGUGAAAAACUCCGGUGGUAUGAGAUGGACCCGCGUCUGAUUAGCUAGUUGGUGGGGUAACGGCCUACCAAGGCGACGAUCAGUAGCCGACCUGAGAGGGUGACCGGCCACAUUGGGACUGAGACGCGGUCCAA